AUUGCUUCUCGGCCUUUUGGCUAAGAUCAAGUGUAGUAUAUGAUUAUGAAUAAACAAGACAAUUACCAACUCCCCUUUCACAUUAUGCAGUAUAGACCUAAAUCUAAGGUCUGUUGGCUACCUAAAUCUAAGGUCUUAUGACUUUUAAGUUGGAUAAAAUACUCCUGGGAUAACUAUUCCAUCUGCUUGAUUAGUCAAUAACUU
ensembl:snRNA U2 U2 spliceosomal RNA